rnacentral:rRNA from 1 species
UGGGGAAUAUUGGACAAUGGGGGAAACCCUGAUCCAGCGAUGCCGCGUGAGUGAAGAAGGCCUUAGGGUUGUAAAGCUCUUUCGGUGGGGAAGAUAAUGACGGUACCCACAAAAGAAGUACCGGCUAACUCUGUGCCAGCAGCCGCGGUAAUACAGAGGGUACAAGCGUUGUUCGGAAUUAUUGGGCGUAAAGCGCGCGUAGGCGGUCUAGAUAGUCAGAUGUGAAAGCCCUGGGCUCAACCCAGGAAUUGCGUUUGAUACUGUUAGACUAGAGACUUAGAGAGGUGAGUGGAAUUCCUAGUGUAGAGGUGAAAUUCGUAGAUAUUAGGAGGAACACCAGUGGCGAAAGCGACUCACUGGCUAAGCACUGACGCUAAGGCGCGAAAGCGUGGGGAGCAAACAGGAUUAGAUACCCCCGUAGUCC